GUCUUUUAUUAUAGAUUUCAUUGAUACAGUCAAACAAUACAAGCGUAAAUGUACAAUGGGGAAUAAUAGUGACUGAACCCUACUAAACCCCAGAGUAAAUGUUGAGCUCAAGGCUCAAUGAUUUGUUAAUGAUCCUUCCGCAGGUUCACCUACGGAAA
rnacentral:misc_RNA from 1 species